rnacentral:rRNA from 1 species
UACGAAGGGUGCUAGCGUUGUUCGGAAUCACUGGGCGUAAAGCGCGCGUAGGCGGCCAAUCAAGUCAGGGGUGAAAUGCCGGAGCUUAACUUCGGAACUGCCUUUGAAACUGAUUGGCUGGAAGAUGAGAGGGGAUAGCGGAAUUUCUGGUGUAGAGGUGAAAUUUGUAGAUACCAGAAGGAACACCGGUGGCGAAGGCGGCUAUCUGGCUCAUUCUUGACGCUCUGGCGCGAAAGCGUGGGGAUCAAACAGG